rnacentral:rRNA from 1 species
AGCAGCCGCGGUAAUUCCAGCUCCAAUAGCGUAUAUUAAAGUUGUUGCAGUUAAAAAGCUCGUAGUUGAAUUUCGGGACUAAUAUGUCGGUCGUACUUUGUACGUACUAGCAUUAUUGGUUUCUCCCUUCUGACGAACCACGAUGUCAUUAAUUUGGUGUCAUGGGAAAUCAGGACUGUUACUUUGAAAAAAUUAGAGUGUUUAAAGCAAGCUCGCGCUUGAAUACAUUAGCAUGGAAUAAUGAAAUAGGACGUUUGAUUCUAUUUUGUUGGUUUCUAGGAUCGACGUAAUGAUUAAUAGGGAUAGUUGGGGGCAUUAGUAUUCAAUUGUCAGAGGUGAAAUUCUUGGAUUUAUUGAAGACUAACUACUGCGAAAGCAUUUGCCAAGGAUGUUUUCAUUAAUCAAGAACGAAAGUUAGGGGAUCGAAGACGAUCAGAUACCGUCGUAGUCUUAACCAUAAACUAUGCCGA